GAUGAACGCUAGCGGCAGGCCUAACACAUGCAAGUCGAGGGAGAAGCCCUUUCGGGGGCAGAAACCGGCGCACGGGUGCGUAACGCGUAUGCAACCUACCUUUCACAGGGGGAUAGCCCGAAGAAAUUUGGAUUAAUACCCCAUAAUAUUAUUGGAUGGCAUCAUUUGAUAAUUAAAACUGCGGUGGUGAAAGAUGGGCAUGCGUCCUAUUAGCUAGUUGGAGUGGUAACGGCACCCCAAGGCUACGAUAGGUAGGGGUCCUGAGAGGGAGAUCCCCCACACUGGUACUGAGACAGGGACCAGACUCCUACGGGAGGCAGCAGUGAGGAAUAUUGGGCAAUGGUCGGAAGACUGAACCAGCCAUGCCGCGUGCAGGAAGAAUGCCUUAUGGGUUGUAAACUGCUUUUAUAUGGGAAGAAUAAGGCGUACGUGUACGUUGAUGACGGUACCAUAUGAAUAAGCACCGGCUAACUCCGUG
rnacentral:rRNA from 1 species